rnacentral:sRNA from 1 species
CACAACACCUACCUGCUGGAGGACCAGCUAGCCGGGCCCAGCAGCACUGAAGCCUACAUCCGGGCACUGUGCAAAGGCUGCCGAUGCCUGGAGCUUGACUGCUGGGACGGGCCCAACCAGGAACCAAUCAUCUACCACGGCUAUACUUUCACUUCCAAGAUCCUCUUCUGCGAUGUGCUCAGGGCCAUCCGGGACUAUGCCUUCAAGGUGGGAGUGCCCCUGGCAGGUGAGGAGUGGGAUGCUAGGGGUGGCCCACCACUCCUAAUGUGCCCUUGGGCCUCCAGGCGUCCCCCUACCCUGUCAUCCUAUCCCUGGAGAACCACUGCACACUGGAGCAGCAGCGCGUGAUGGCGCGGCACCUGCACGCCAUCCUGGGCCCCAUGCUGUUGAACCGACCACUGGAUGGGAUCACCAACAGCCUGCCCUCCCCUGAGCAACUGAAGGGGAAGAUCCUGCUGAAGGGGAAGAAGCUCGGGGGGCUCCUGCCCCCUGCAGGGGAGGGUGGCCCUGAGGCCACUGUGGUGUCAGACGAAGACGAGGCUGCUGAGAUGGAGGAUGAGGCAGUGAGGAGCCGUGUGCAGCACAAGCCCAAGGAGGACAAGCUCAGGCUAGCACAGGAGCUCUCUGACAUGGUCAUUUACUGCAAGAGUGUCCACUUUGGGGGCUUCUCCAGUCCUGGCACCCCUGGGCAGGCCUUCUACGAGAUGGCGUCCUUCUCUGAGAACCGUGCCCUUCGACUGCUCCAAGAAUCAGGAAACGGCUUUGUCCGCCACAACGUGGGGCACCUGAGCAGAAUCUACCCGGCUGGAUGGAGAACAGACUCCUCCAACUACAGCCCCGUGGAGAUGUGGAAUGGGGGCUGCCAGAUCGUGGCCCUGAAUUUCCAGACACCUGGGCCAGAGAUGGACGUGUACCAGGGCCGCUUCCAGGACAACGGGGCCUGUGGGUACGUGCUGAAGCCCGCCUUCCUGCGAGACCCCAACGGCACCUUUAACCCCCGCGCCCUGGCUCAGGGGCCCUGGUGGGCACGGAAGCGGCUCAACA